rnacentral:rRNA from 1 species
UACAGAGGGUGCAAGCGUUAAUCGGAAUUACUGGGCGUAAAGCGUGCGUAGACGGUUAUGUAAGUCAGAUGUGAAAUCCCCGGGCUCAACCUGGGAAUUGCAUUGGAGACUGCAAGGCUAGAAUCUGGCAGAGGGGGGUAGAAUUCCACGUGUAGCAGUGAAAUGCGUAGAGAUGUGGAGGAACACCGAUGGCGAAGGCAGCCCCCUGGGUCAAGAUUGACGCUCAUGCACGAAAGCGUGGGGAGCAAACAGG